rnacentral:sRNA from 2 species
UCGCCUAGCACGCCGAGCUCCAUCCAGUAGGCGAGGGAUUCCGACCCGCGGAUGGAGGCGGGGGACCCACCAGGUCCGCCGAGAUCGGACCGGGGCCGUUUUCGGCUCCUUGGGGUGAAGCCGGUGUCGUGGCGACGACGUAGGACGCUGGCCGGGUGACCUCUCCCACCCGAACCCGACAGCUGACCUCGCAGGCGUGUACCGAGAGGAACU